AGAGUUUGAUCCUGGCUCAGGAUGAACGCUAGCGGCAGUAAUACAUGCAAGUCGAGGGGCAGCACAGGUAGCAAUACUGGGUGGCGACCGGCAAACGGGUGCGGAACACGUACGCAACCUUCCUUUAAGUGGGGGAUAGCCCAGGGAAACUUGGAUUAAUACCCCUUAAUAUUAUUGAGUGGCAUCACUUGAUAAUUAAAGCUCCGGCGCUUAAAGAUGGGCGUGCGCCUGAUUAGGUAGUUGGCGGGGUAACAGCCCACCAAGCCUACGAUCAGUAACUGGUGUGAGAGCACGACCAGUCACACGGGCACUGAGACACGGGCCCGACUCCUACGGGAGGCAGCAGUAAGGAAUAUUGGUCAAUGGACGCAAGUCUGAACCAGCCAUGCCGCGUGGAGGAUGACGGCCCUCUGGGUUGUAAACUCCUUUUAUCUGGGAAGAAAUGCACUUUUUCUAAAGUGUUUGACGGUACCAGAGGAAUAAGCACCGGCUAACUCCGUGCCAGCAGCCGCGGUAAUACGGAGGGUGCAAGCGUUAUCCGGAUUCACUGGGUUUAAAGGGUGCGUAGGUGGAGUGGUAAGUCAGUGGUGAAAUCUCCAAGCUUAACUUGGAAACUGCCGUUGAUACUAUCAUUCUUGAAUAUCGUGGAGGUAAGCGGAAUAUGUCAUGUAGCGGUGAAAUGCUUAGAUAUGACAUAGAACACCGAUUGCGAAGGCAGCUUACUACACGAUCAUUGACACUGAGGCACGAAAGCGUGGGGAUCAAACAGGAUUAGAUACCCUAGUAGUCC
rnacentral:rRNA from 1 species